UCCUAGAAAUAAAUUUCUAACAGACUGGUCACUAUAUAUGCAAUAAGCUUCCAAAUUAAUAACAAACAAAAGAAAUUAUUUGUUUAAGAAAAACCAAAUCACUAGACCAUAUAAUGCAACAAAUUCUCUUAAUCAAUUUAAUUGGCCAUCUAAUCAGCUACGAUAAUUUCUUAUUAAAAUCGUCUUGUUCUACAUUUUACAUACUUUCACCUCAACAGUUAUACUAC
rnacentral:lncRNA from 1 species